UCCCAUCUUCAUCAAUAAUUU
rnacentral:piRNA from 1 species